AUUGAACGCUGGCGGCAUGCCUAACACAUGCAAGUCGAGCGGCGGGGGGGACGCGUGAGUCCUGACUCGGAAUCUGCAUCGUACUGGGGGAUCACGUACGGAAACGGGCGCUAAUACCGCAAACUCUCAGAUGAGCCUAGGUCGGAUUAGCUAGUUGGUGGGGUAAAGUCCUACCAAGGCGACGAUCCGUAACUGGUCUGAGAGGAUGAUCAGUCACACUGGAACUGAGACACGGUCCAGACUCCUACGGGAGGCAGCAGUGGGGAAUAUUGGACAAUGGGCGAAAGCCUGAUCCAGCCAUGCCGCGUGUUUGAAGAAGUCCUUCGGGUUUUAAAGCCCUUGAAUUUGAGAGUCGUUACUAACAGAAUAAGCACCGGCUAACGGCGUGACAGCAGCCGCGGUAAUAC
rnacentral:rRNA from 1 species